UUCUUAGUAAGAUUUCCUCUACACCUUGGACAUUUUUGUUUUCUUUGAACAAGAUUUCCUGCACAAUUAAGGCAGAAGUGAUGCCCACAACGUGUAAUAACAACAGGAGUGCGAAUAUUGGGGAGAAACUGAUUAAUUGUUAAUGUUCUUGACAUAAUGUUAUCCCAAUCUUCUAAACAAAUAGGGCAUGUGAACUUUGCAGCUUUCUCUUUUUCUUCUUGAGUUAAUUCGACAGGUUUUUCUAUUACUUGAUUCUUAUUUUGAUGAUUAUUCAUAUUACAAGGAUUCAUUGUGCUAUUUAAAAAAUUA
rnacentral:antisense_RNA from 1 species